AGAGACACAGAAAAUGAGAGAGGCAGAGAGAGAGAAGCAGGCUUCAUGCAAGGAGCCUGACAUGGGACUCAUCCUGGGAGUCCAGAAUCAUGCCCCGGACUGAAGGUGCUCCUGUGACUCUCUCAGUCAGGUGGUCCUGGCGGUGGGCAUUCAUUUCAUUCUUGGCAGUUUCCCAUGUGGAGUUGUGACAUAGAGAGAGAGAGAGAGGCAGAGACACAGGCAAAGG